UCUCCGUUGGUGAACCAGCGGAGGGAUCAUUACCGAGUGCAAACUUAUAACCCUUUGUGAACCUAUAUCUGUUGCUUCGGCGGCUCGCUCUCGGGCGAGCCCGCCGGUAAUAUCAGUAUCUCUGUUUGAACCCGACGAUACUUCUGAGUGUUCUUAGCGAACAGUUAAAACUUUUAACAACGGAUCUCUUGGCUCUA
rnacentral:misc_RNA from 1 species